rnacentral:rRNA from 1 species
AUGGAGAGGAGCAAAGGCUGCCUCUCCCUGCUGCUCCUCGCGGCCGUGGUGGCGUCCCUCGUCGCCGGCUCGUCGGCGGGCAUCUACCACAUCGUCGGCGCCGGCAAGGGCUGGCAGAUGGCCCCCAACCGGACCUACUACGGGGAAUGGGCCCGCACCCGGAACAUCAGCGUGGGCGACAAGCUCAUGUUCCUGUACCGGAGCGGGGUGUACAACAUCGUGGAGGUGCCGAGCCGGGACCUGUUCGACGGGUGCAGCAUGCGCAACAUCACCAACCGGUACCAGAACGGGCCCACCAUCAUCGAGCUCAUCCCGCCCGCCGGCCCGCGCUACUACUUCUGCGGCGUCGGCAAGCACUGCGAGGAGGGCCAGAAGCUCAAGAUCUACGUCGCCCCCUUCGCGCCCUCGCGCACGCAGAACGACGACCAGGCCGAAGAGCCCGACGACGACGGCGACGUCAUCUCCGGCUCGCCCGCCCCCGCCGCAGUGCCGCUGCUCGCCCUCGCCGCCUGCUUGCUGGCGCUUUCGCUCCUGCUGCUGAUGUAA